GAUGAACGCUGGCGGCGUGCCUAAUACAUGCAAGUCGAGCGAACAGACGAGGAGCUUGCUCCUCUGACGUUAGCGGCGGACGGGUGAGUAACACGUGGAUAACCUACCUAUAAGACUGGGAUAACUUCGGGAAACCGGAGCUAAUACCGGAUAAUAUAUUGAACCGCAUGGUUCAAUAGUGAAAGACGGUUUUGCUGUCACUUAUAGAUGGAUCCGCGCCGCAUUAGCUAGUUGGUAAGGUCACGGCUUACCAAGGCAACGAUGCGUAGCCGACCUGAGAGGCGGAUAGGCGACACGGGAACGUAGACACGGACCUGACGCCUACGGUAGGCAGCAGAAGGGAAUCGUCCGCAGUGGGGGAAAGCCUGACGGAGCAACGCCGCGUGAGUGAUGAAGGCGUUCGGAUCGUAAAACUCUGUUAUUAGGGAAGAACAAAUGUGGAAGUAACUGUGCACGUCUUGACGGUACUUAAUCAGAAAGCCACGGCUAACUACGUG
rnacentral:rRNA from 1 species